UCUCGCCAGAGGCAUUGCUGGGUAGCUAAAUGCGGAAGAGAUAAGUGCUGAAAGCAUCUAAGCACGAAACUUGCCAAGAGAUGAGUCAUCCCUGACUUUAAGUCAGUAAGGGUUGUUGUAGACGACGACGUAGAUAGGUUGGGUGUGUAAGUGUAGUGAUACAUUGAGCUAACCAAUACUAAUUGCCCGAGAGGCUUAACCAUACAACGCUCAAG
rnacentral:rRNA from 1 species